AUAGCCAUACCAAGUUUAAACACCGAUACUAGUCCGAUCACCGAAGUUAAGCAACGUCAAACGUCAUGCCCAGUCAGUACCUAGAUGGGUAACUGCUUGGGAAUAUCAGGUGCUGUAAG